UGUUAGAAAUGCCAUCCAAAUUGCUCCAUUAUUAGCUAAGGAGUAGAUAUGCAGUUCAACACUGCUAGGACGUAUACCCCCCAUGUUUUUGUUUGGUGAAGCGGCUCGAGCAUGGGCAAACUCCAAAGGUGUUGUUUUACCAAAAACAAUAGCAGAAGCUGAUGUGAGAAGACCAGAAACCUCUGGAAAAAAUAUAAAGGAAUGCUUGAUGGAGCCAAAGCGGUUAAUGAUGUUUCUUCCACAACAGCCAAUU